UGUUGGGUUAAGUCCCGCAACGAGCGCAACCCUCGUCCUAUGUUGCCAGCACGUCAUGGUGGGAACUCAUGGGAGACUGCCGGGGUCAACUCGGAGGAAGGUGGGGAUGACGUCAAAUCAUCAUGCCCCUUAUGUCUUGGGCUUCACGCAUGCUACAAUGGCCGGUACAAAGGGCUGCAAUACCGCAAGGUGGAGCGAAUCCCAAAAAGCCGGUCUCAGUUCGGAUUGAGGUCUGCAACUCGACCUCAUGAAGUUGGAGUCGCUAGUAAUCGUGGAUCAGCAACGCCACGGUGAAUACGUUCCCGGGCCUUGUACACACCGCCCGUCACACCAUGGGAGUGGAUUGCACCAGAAGUGGUUAGUCUAACCUUCGGGGGGACGAUCACCACGGUGUGGUUCAUGACUGGGGUGAAGUCGUAACAAGGUAGCCCUAGGGGAA
rnacentral:rRNA from 14 species